rnacentral:rRNA from 1 species
UACGGAGGGUGCGAGCGUUGUCCGGAAUCACUGGGCGUAAAGGGCGCGUAGGCGGCAUGCCAAGCGUGUGGUGAAAGCCCGGGGCUCAACCCCGGGUCGGCCGUGCGGACUGGCGUGCUCGAGCACUGUAGGGGCGGGUGGAAUUCCGGGUGUAGCGGUGGAAUGCGUAGAGAUCCGGAAGAACACCGGUGGCGAAGGCGGCCUGCUGGGACAUGGCUGACGCUGAGGCGCGACAGCGUGGGGAGCAAACAGG